rnacentral:rRNA from 1 species
GACAGAGGGGGCAAGCGUUGCUCGGAAUUACUGGGCGUAAAGUGUGCGCAGGCGGCCGAGCAAGUCGAGUGUGAAAGCCCCGGGCUUAACCUGGGAACUGCGCUCGAAACUACUUGGCUUGAGUGUGGCAGAGGGAGGUGGAAUUCCACGUGUAGCGGUGAAAUGCGCAGAUAUCAGGAGGAACACCGGUGGCGAAGGCGGGUCUCUGGGCCGAUAUUGACGCUGAGGAGCGAAAGCGUGGGGAGCGAACAGG